rnacentral:rRNA from 1 species
UACGAAGGGUGCUAGCGUUGUUCGGAAUCACUGGGCGUAAAGCGUGCGUAGGCGGUUUUUUAAGUCUGAUGUGAAAGCCCGGGGCUCAACCCCGGAUGUGCAUUGGAUACUGGAAGGCUAGAGAUUGGGAGAGGAAAGUGGAAUUCCGAGUGUAGAGGUGAAAUUCGUAGAUAUUCGGAGGAACACCAGUGGCGAAGGCGACUUUCUGGACCAAUACUGACGCUGAGGCACGAAAGCGUGGGGAUCAAACAGG